rnacentral:sRNA from 1 species
GCUGGGCACGGUGGCACAUGCCUGUAAUCCCAGCAGCUCAGGAAGCUGAAGCAGAAGGAUCACAGGUUGGAAGCCAGCCUCAGCAACUCAGCAAGGCCCUAAGCAACUCAGUGAGACCCUGUCUCUA